CCCCGCUUAGCUCAAUGGUAGAGCGUUCGGCUGUAGACCGAAAGGUUGCCGGUUCAAGUCCGGCAGCGGGGA
rnacentral:tRNA from 1 species